rfam:Phialocephala scopiformis strain CBS 120377 unplaced genomic scaffold LY89scaffold_2, whole genome shotgun sequence.
GGGCUUGUGGUUUAGUGGUAUAAUAUUCCCUUAGCAUUCAUCCAGCUUGGGAAUGGUCCAGGGUUCGAUUCCCUGCAAGUCCA